AUGCCGUUCGGAUUGACAAAUGCUCUGGCGACAUUCCAGUGCCUGAUGAAUGCCAUCUUCGCCAAAUACACCCGUAAGUUUGUCAUCAUUUUCCUUGAUGACAUUCUCGUUUUCAGCGAGACCUUGGAGGAACAUAUCGAGCACCUGCGGCUCGUCCUCGACCUACUCCAUGAGCACCAGCUCUACGCCAAGAUGUCCAAGUGCUCGUUUGCGCAAGAUCACAUCGACUACUUGGGCCACGUCAUCUCUAAGCACGGCAUCGCGACCGAUGCAGAGAAGACGAACGCCAUGGCGCAGUGGCCGACCCCAACCAACGCCACUGAACUCCGCGGCUUUCUUGGACUCACCGGCUACUACCGCAAAUUCGUGCCACAUUAUGGAAUCAUCGCCAAGCCCCUCACGCGGCAGCUCACCAAGAAGGGCUUCGAGUGGCCCGAGUCGGCGCAGCGCGCGUUCGAUACGCUCAAGCAGGCGAUGGUGACCACGUCGGUGCUCGCCCUCCCCGACUUCGACAAGCCGUUCUCCAUCGAGACCGACGCGUGCGACACUGGCAUCGGCGCGGUCCUCGUCCAGGAGGGCCACCCAUCGCCUACUACAGCAAGGCCUUGGGCGUGGAGAACCAGAAGCUUUCCACCUACGAGAAGGAGUUCUUGGCGGUGA
rnacentral:rRNA from 1 species